rnacentral:lncRNA from 13 species
UAACCUAUGAAAAUACUAAUCACACGUUUGAGUGCCAGAUAGAAGACAAAGUCUGCCGUCAUGACUUCACAGUCCUGGGGAACAAGGAGAAGUACUGUGUUAGUCUGGAGGGGAAUUCAAUGGGCCACCGAGUUAUGUUCAACAGAAAAGGGCCCAUCUGUGUCAAUGAAGACAAAACAGUUUCACUGGAAUCCUUUUUGCCAUUGAUCAUCAUUGGCAUUGUGGCCUUUGUAGUCUUUGUGACAAUAAGGCUCUGCAAGAGAAGCAUGCGGAAAAGAAACUUGUCCAAUUUCCCAAAGACUUUGGCUUCAAUCUUAUCAAACUCACACGACAAGAAUAUAAUGGACCUGCAAUUUGAGAUCAUAGCGCACAUCAGUGGCAUAGAACCAGUUACCACCACAUCCCAGAGCCUGUUGGAAACUUCAGAAGAGGAGCAGGAACCGGUUGAGAGUCCGACCAAUAGCGUUGGAUUUUCGGCUAACCCCUUUAGUUCUGGGCAGGUGGGAGAGGGCUUAUCGGACAGCAGGAGCCAAUUACGGACUGAGCUUCAGGUGACACAGCCACACUCUGUGCUGCUGUGUGGAGAUGACUCCGAGGAAUCAGAGGACAUGGAUUCCACAGCUUCUGGCUAUGACAGACAACACAUUCCUCUACAAGAGGUGGAGGUGGAGAUGAGUGCAGGAGAUGUAGUGGUGGGCUAUGGCUUUGUGUGA